rnacentral:rRNA from 1 species
CAUGUCUUUUUGUUUAAUAAUUUAAAGUCUGCUCUGCCCAAUGAAUUAUUUUUAAUGGCUGCAGUAUACUGACUGUACAAAGGUAGCAUAAUAAUUAGUCUUUUUAUUGAAGGCUUGUAUGAAUGAGUUGAUGAAAUAUUUACUGUCUCUAAUUUAAAUUAUUAAUUUAGAUUUUAAGUAAAAAUGCUUAAAUUUUUAUAUGGGACGAGAAGACCCUAUAGAAUUUUAUAGUUUAUACUAAUAGUAAUUUUAUUAGUAUAAACUAUUUUGUUGGGAGGAUAUUUAAAUUUAUUUAACUUUAAAAAUUUUAUCCAAUUAUUUUUGUUUAAAAAGAUAGUUUAUUAAAAAUUGUUAGAUUAAAUUACCUUAGGGAUAACAGCGUAAUAUCUUUGGAGAGUUCAUAUUUAUAAAGAUGAUUGCGACCUCGAUGUUGAAUUAAAGUAUAAUUUAAAUGCAGGAGUUUAAAUUUUAAGUCUGUUCGACUUUUAA